rnacentral:rRNA from 1 species
GGUCGCACUGGCGUCAUUGGUUUCUCCUUUCUGACGAACUAUGAUGUCAUUAAUUUGGUGUUAUGGGGAGUUAGGACUGUUACUUUGAAAAAAUUAGAGUGUUUAAAGCAGGCAUUACCUUGAAUACAUUAACAUGGAAUAAUGAAAUAGGACGUUCGAUCCUAUUUUGUUGGUUUCUAGGAUCAACGUAAUGAUUAAUAGGGAUAGUUGGGGGCAUUAGUAUUCAAUUGUCAGAGGUGAAAUUCUUGGAUUUAUUGAAGACUAACUGCUGCCAAAGCAUUUGCCGAGGAUGUUUUCAUUAAUCUUUAACGAAAGUUAGGGGAUCGAAGACGAUCAGAUACCGUCGUAGUCUUAACCAUAAACUAUGCCAACUAGGGAUCGGAUGAUGUUAAUUUUUUAAUGACUCAUUCGGCGCCUUACG